rnacentral:lncRNA from 1 species
AGAAUGAUGAAGUGUGAGGAAUGGAACAGGUGUUCUCAACUGUUUCAACUUAGGCAGCCUAUGCUUAUGUCAGUGUAGAGCAUACCUGACAAGAAGAACUUUGUGGUCACAAUUGUUUGCUUGUAUCUAUUUUUUUGCACAAUCUAAUACAAAAUUAGGUUAAAAGAGUCAAAAAUCUGGAAUUGGGAUACACAGCUAAAUGUGA